GCUUAUACUCGACCGUCAGCGGCACGUGCGAUCGCGCGAACUUUCACGAGCGAGCGCGGUCACGAAGCCCUGACGAGUAGGAGGGUCGCGGCGGUGAGCGCAGAAGGGCUGGCCGCGAGGCCGUCUGGAGCCGCCGUCGGUGCAGAUCUUGGUGGUAGUAGCAAAUACUCCAGCGAGGCCCUGGAGGACUGACGUGGAGAAGGGUUUCGUGUGAACAGCCGUUGCACACGAGUCAGUCGAUCCUAAGCCCUAGGCGAAAGCCGAUGUCGAUGCGGUGUAGUUUUUACGAUAAAUAGAUGUAGACGAAAUUCGACGACUACGACGAAAGAAACAUUAAUUCGUCGUCGUCGUAAGUCUAAUUAAUAACGCGAGAGCACACACCCGUCGGGCGAAAGGGAAUCCGGUUCCUAUUCCGGAACCUGGCAGCGGAACCGUCAAAAAGUCGGGC
rnacentral:rRNA from 1 species